UACGUAGGUGGCAAGCGUUGUCCGGAUUUAUUGGGUUUAAAGGGUGCGUAGGCGGUCCUAUAAGUCAGUGCUGAAAUAUCCCGGCUUAACCGGGAGGGUGGCAUUGAUACUGUGGGACUUGAGUAAAGUUGAGGUUGGCGGAAUUGACGGUGUAGCGGUGAAAUGCUUAGAUAUCGUCAAGAACACCUAUUGCGAAGGCAGCUAACUAAGCUUUAACUGACGCUGAGGCACGAAAGCUAGGGGAGCAAACAGG
rnacentral:rRNA from 1 species